rnacentral:rRNA from 1 species
CUACGGGACGCAGCAGUGGGGAAUAUUGGACAAUGGGGGCAACCCUGAUCCAGCCAUGCCGCGUGAAUGAUGAAGGCCUUCGGGUUGUAAAGUUCUUUUGGUGGGGACGAUGAUGACGGUACCCACAGAAUAAGCUCCGGCUAACUUCGUGCCAGCAGCCGCGGUAAUACGAAGGGAGCUAGCGUUGUUCGGAAUUACUGGGCGUAAAGGGCGCGUAGGCGGUUCGACAAGUCAGGUGUGAAAGCCCCGGGCUCAACCCGGGAACUGCGCUUGAGACUGUCGAUCUUGGAUUCGGUAGAGGUGAGUGGAAUUCCCAGUGUAGAGGUGAAAUUCGUAGAGAUUGGGAAGAACACCAGUGGCGAAGGCGGCUCACUGGACCGACAUUGACGCUGAGGCGCGAAAGCGUGGGGAGCAAACAGGAUUAGAUACCCCCGUAGUC